UACGUAGGUGGCAAGCGUUGUCCGGAAUUACUGGGCGUAAAGCGCGUGUAGGCGGUUGUUCAAGUCAGGUGUGAAAGCCUUGAGCUCAACUCAAGAAAUGCACUUGAUACUGGAUGACUAGAGGACCGGAGAGGAUAGUGGAAUUCCCAGUGUAGUGGUGAAAUACGUAGAGAUUGGGAAGAACACCAGUGGCGAAGGCGGCUAUCUGGACGGUUUCUGACGCUAAGACGCGAAAGCGUGGGAGCAACAGG
rnacentral:rRNA from 1 species